AUCCAACCGACGAGUCAAGGAUAGGACGAAACGCGCGUCCCGGAU
rfam:Schistosoma rodhaini strain Burundi genome assembly, scaffold: SROB_scaffold0018009